AAGAAAGGGGUGGGGGGUGAGAGUGAGAAGUCUUUAACUGGAGUACAGUUUCAACAUUUUAUCAUUCGGAGCUCCCCAUCCUCUAUGGCACGGAUGUUUAUAAGCUCCAGUACUAGAGCCAACUAUAGAGCCACUAUAUUUCUGGGAAGUUAAGGUGAUGGACUUAUUGAGCUGUCCACAGCUGUAGCUCAACCGAGACACUUAGUAAGGGUGUCAGAUGUUGUGGAAAAUUAAAUCAAGCCAAAAUCCUAUUCAUCAUCUCAUCAGAACAGGAAAUGGAUACUUGAGCAUGUUUCCUGCCAUGACUCUCUGUGCUGUUGGAAUGCCCAGUUCCCAAUGCGCUCUAAGUCCUCAUGGUGGUGUAGUGACUCGCCUCAAUCCAGGUGGCGGAGGACGAAUCUCAGUUACCUCCGCGUAUUAGACCGUCAAUCCAUGCAUCUUAUCACGUGGCUUGUUGAGCACGUUACUGCGGAGACAUAGUGCAUAUGGAGGCUUCACGCUAUUCUCCACGGCAUCCAAGCACAACUCACCACGUGCCCCACCGAGAGCGAGAACCACAUUAUAGCGACCAGGAGGAGGUUACCCCAUGUGACUCUACCCUCAAUAGCAACCAGGCCAAUGCUGGGCCUCAUGUAUUUAGACAGAAGACAAAGGCAGGCCUAACACAGUCGUAAAAUCUGACUGAGGCCCACACACAAAGUCAUAAAUCUUACUGAUAAAAACCGCACCAAAAUCAAACAAAGGGAGUCCAAAACAGACUACAAAUCCCAUGAAGCCUUGCUCACUAAAAGAUUGAACUCUCAACUGCUAUUGGAUGAGGCACACAACAGAACGGCCCUCAACCAUGACGUCAUAGAAAUAACUCUGAGAUCCUUCCGGGAUUUGCUUCCAGCAACUUUGCUCACCGUGUGUAGAUCAUCACUGCUCUCAGGUGUAGCCUCGUGGCACAAGGAAGUAACAUCCGACUUGAAACUGUGGCCAUACAAUCUCCAUCUCACUGGAUGAGUUGAGAUUACUCUGUGUUCCACCGAACACUCUAACGGAUCCAAAGGAGACCGCCAAGAAAUCCACAUCUUCAUCCGUUUGCCUGCAGAAGUGAAGAGAAAAAGAUUUCUCUUCCCUCUUUAAUCAAGUCGACGUCGCUGAUUUCUCCGCCAGCCUGCCGAGAAUCAGCAGCCAUACCGCCCUCCGACAGAGCGAGGAAACAGCCUCCCGUCAUCACCCGAGCCUUGAGGGACCGAGUCGGAGUUAAAGGACAGAUGAACACACAUUCUACCUGCGUCCUCAUAUGAUUCAAGUAAGAGGUUUACGUCUGGGCAGAAAUAGAAUAUUAUAGUGUGUUAUUCUUAUGUAUCAAGGUUAUUGCUUGUACAGUUUACGGACUGCCGUGUCCGCUCAUUGCUGCUAAUAAUACUCAAGGUAUUACUGUAAUGUACUGUUAUCACGUAUGAGAUCUGCUGUGUUGUAGUCCAACCACAUUGGACUGUUAUGUAUUUCCGCCAUCGCGGGUGAGACCAGCACACUGAGUUUAUCCAUUAAAGAACCAAAGACUGCAGGAUGGUUUACGAGCCGUCUACCACGUCUCUGAGUGAUAAACUAACAGCUGCUUUCUCUCCCACGAUCGUGAAACCGGCUUUGGUGUCGCCACUUUAUUCUCUCUCUCUCUCUCGUACUAACCACACACACACGCGACCCCUCACAAACAUUCUCGCACACACUUUUGGCUAGUAGAUAACUUUGUGAUAAAGCUCAGCUUUGUCCCUAAGUUAUCGUACAAGCUGAGACGCGGUAAAUGGGCAAACGCCAUUAUCUGGCUUCUCUCUGCCCACAUUUGUGGCUAUAUUCUCUGGCCGGAAAUCUCGUGUGAUGUACUCUCCACGAGAGUCACGUCUGCCAUUUUGUGCGUGUUACACCUUACACACACACUCACACACACACACACACACACACACAAACACACACACACACCUGCCUUCCUCUCAUAUGUUAUAGGAUUAUUUUGGUUACCAUAUCUAAUCAUGUCACUGUUUAGUUUGUAGUUGUAAGUCGGAAGUUUAUUGACUGCAUUGUAUUGAUUA